GUGUCCUAUUUAUUCCUCCCAAGCCCUUUGCAUUUCAGUAUCAUCUUUUCUUCUCCGCUGAAGAGACGAUUACUAUGUUUCAACAACAUCCUCUUCGGCGAUAGUGAUGAGACUUAUGUGGACUAGAGUUUCUGAUCUUGGGUUUUAUCCCAUUAUUGAAGACAAACCCUUGGCUGUCUGAGUACACAAUUUAUUUUUAUUGUUUUUGUUCAUUGACAUUCAACAUAUUGAACAAGAACCCAUUCAUAAUUUCAUUUUUGGGCUUAUGAUGAAAAAUCACAUUAUCUUAGCGGAUUUCAGUGAGAUUUUUUUCAAUGAUCUGAAUGUUACACACAUUGAGGCCCCUUUUAUACUUUUUAUUGAUCUGAAUGUGUUAUUUUAAUCUGACAACUAUUCUAAUGGAGCAAAUUAUUUAGUCUUUGCAAAUUCCAUUCAUAGUCGUCAAAGAUUGAGCCUCCUUUUCUGAUCAAUGAAUGGUUGAGAUUUUCUCUCUUAGGAGAUGGGACUUUCCUGUUCUUCAGAUGGUGUGCGAUCUCAUAUCCUAUUGCCUUGAGUAGCAGUUUCUGCCAUUACCUUUUGGGAUUUGCCAUGAGAAAUACAUUUCAUUGAUUUUAUAUCAUUCUAUUUGAUUUUAUUAUCUUUUCAGGUUAAAUAACAAAUUCAUGACUGAAUGGCACAUUGUCCUUGAUGUUAUUUAUUCUGCAAAUUUUGAGGCUACUCCUUUGAAAUCUAUCAUUUCUCUUCCGUCUCAAUGGGAUCUCUUAUCAUGUUAUUAUAUAUAUUUUGAAUAUAAUUUUGAUAAAAUUAUUAUAAUAUUAUCAAUAUUUUAACCGCACAUCAUAAAUAUAUCUCAACAUUGAUAGGAAGUUUGAUUAUUCUUAAUUUUUCAUUUUAAAUGGUUGGAUUUGUUUGUCUGUGAGGAUAUCAGUUAAAAUAACACCAUCUUUCGGGACUGAAUGACCUUUUGGUCUUGAUGUUAUUAAUUCUGCAAUUCUGAGACUUUAUUUUAAUUCUCAAUUCAUAUUUGAUCA